rnacentral:rRNA from 1 species
UACGUAGGUGGCAAGCGUUAUCCGGAAUUAUUGGGCGUAAAGCGCGCGCAGGCGGUUUCUUAAGUCUGAUGUGAAAGCCCACGGCUUAACCGUGGAAGUGCAUGGGAUACUGUUGAGCUUGAGUACUUAAGAGGAUCGCGGAAUUCCCGGUGUAGAGGUGAAAUUCGUAGAUAUCGGGAGGAACACCAGUGGCGAAGGCGGCGAUCUGGGAAGAUACUGACGCUGAGGUGCGAAAGCGUGGGGAGCAAACAGG